CAUCUAAUUAGAUAGAUUAGAUAAAUGAUCUAGCAAUGGUGGCAUUUCAAUUUUGUUUACCGAAUCACAUGAAAUUUUACCCAACUCCAUAUCUGGAAUGUAUGAAAUACGUAUGAACGGAGGAAGAAAGAUAAUUUUCUACUUAAAUUGAAUUGGAAUUUAUUGGAAUUUUCAACAGAUACAAAUGGAAAGAAAUUGAUAAAACAUCCCUAGAAACGGACUUCUGCUACUUAGACUUAUUAAUUAAGUUUAUAGGAUUUUGUAUAGAAUAUAAAAACAAAAAUGAUUCCAUUUCUACCAUUAUUAUGAUAAUACAUAUUCCAACCUGCUUGAAUACCAGAAAAAUAAAUGGAUUGGACAUUUGAUCUUUUCGCUGAGAUAAAGGUAUAAAAAUCAGAAAGAGAACAUAUAGAAUUAGAAUCGGUUUUUUAGCAUUUAACCCCCUUUUAUGUUAUGGAUUUCGUUGUUCAAAAAUGAUUCAUAGAGAAGAGAGAGAUUUUGUUUACGGAUUUUUUAGUAGAAUACGAUUGUGAAGCGUAUAAGAAAAGAAGGUUUGUAUGGCUUAAACACAUGUGGAGAUAUCUAUAAUAUCCGUGUUUCUUCUCUUUUCUUAUUUUAUUGUCGUUCUAUGUUCUAUUUGGGGCAACACAGGUUGUGCUCUACGAAAUAGAAUUUAAAUUUUCUAUUUAAUUCAAAAUUCAAAUUGAAGUAUGAUACUUUUCUUAUAUCUGAUAAUUCUAUAUCGGAAACAUAUACAAAUAAUAUAUAUCGGUCUAACAAUUUCUCUUGGGGGGUUUACAUAUACUCAUAAUUGUUGUUAUAAUUAAGAAGGAUUUUUUGAUUGAAAAAAUCCAUACUGAUUAGUUAUAUAUCAAGUUGUAUUUUCUUAUGUCAUUAGGAAAACAAAAAUUGGAGAUUCAAAUCCAAGAAUUGUUCAUGCAUUCUAAGUCAAUAGUUAAUGGUUCCUAUUUUCAUAAAGUUAAAUUUUGGAUUUUGCGACUGAAAAUCCACAUUUGAUUUUUCAAUUGAUUUCAAUAGAAAGGUAAGAGAAAGUUUUGAACUUAUGAAUUUUGAGAUAGACUCAAUCUAAAUUGAAAGGAUGAAUCAAACCAAAUCAAAAGGGAAGAAGUAUUAGGAUUUCUUUGACUUUUAGGAAAAAUUAAGGAAAACAUAUCUCAAGGUGCAAGUACGAUAAAAAAGCAGUUCAGUAAUCUGGGAAAGUUUUCAUCUAUUUUGUAUUUGUAGCAUUUUGGUGACAUGGCCGAGUGGUAAUGCAAAGGACUGCAAAUCCUUUUUUCCCAGUUCAAAUCUGGGUGUUUCCUGAUCAACAAAAAAUAGACAUCUCUUCUUUUCUUUUAUUGAUAUAACCUGCCGAACGAUUCCCCAGCAGAAGCAGAGAAGGAAGACUACUGAUACUUGUUUGAUUCUAAACAUCUGGUCUGGGGGUUUUUCUAAAAAAUUUUAAAUAUCCUUGCAUUGCAUAUCAUUGCAUAUUUAGGCUUAGGCUAGGCUUCAAGGAAAUAUUCGAAAGCUAGAGGGGCUAUCAAGACUUCGCAAUUACCUUCUACUACAAAUAAAAAUUUAUAUUAUUAAUCCAUUGUAUAAUGACUGGACCUUGUCUUAGAUUGGAGAGCCCGAUAGGAAAUAUAAAUAGUUGCGGAAGGGGGCGGAAGAUACUUUAUUAUAUACGAGGAACUCACAAAAAUCUCUGAGUGCUCAAGCAUCCAAUCAAUUGAAAUGAGGGUCAACAAAAAAAGAAUAGGACCUAUUAUUCAUACAUGUUCCAUUAGUAACAUUCCUUACUGCGGAUUUUGCUUGUGUUUAAUCUUUCCCGAUUAGAAAUCAUAUAGAAAUUUCUUAUAAAAUGACUGAAUUUAUCGGAUUGGUUUAUUAAUAGUCUUCGUUCUUUAUGACUUUACGCCAUUGAUUCCACUAUUAUUAGUGAGGAAUAAUGGAACAAUUCCUUUAUAUUUAUAGAGAUAGGGGAAAUAAUUCAUAUGGAUAUAGUAAGUCUUGCUUGGGUUGCUUUAAUGGUGUUUUUACUUUUUCCCUUUCACUCAUAGUGCGGGGAAGGAGUGGACUCUAGGGGUCCUACUAAUUGAUUUAAGAAAGCAAACUGUAUAAAUAUCAAGUUCUUUCUAGAUCGUUCUGUAACACGUUUGGAACAAAAUAAAAAUAUCUUCAUUUUGAAAUUCCAUUGGACUCGACUUGAGUAAUGUAUUAUAGGAAUCAUCCUCCUUCAAUCAAAGAGCUAUUUCAACAAUUCUCAUGUUUGUAGUUUGAAAGGAAGAGGGUCCCAGGAAAUUUAUUUGAACCUAAUUCUUCCUAAAUUUUCUAGUCCAAUCAACGGCCUCUUACUAGGUUAUACUGAGGAGGGUCAGACCCUUUUUUUAUUUAUUUCUUUCUUUACUGUUCAAAGAAGAAGUUUUUUGUUAAGUGUAUACGCACUUUGUAUGAGAAAGAAGGGAUAUAAACAUAAUGGUUGUCUAACGAGAUACUAUGCAGAAUAAGGUUGUCAGGUGGGUCACAUAUUGCGCAUUUACCGCUUUUGAAUUUUUAAAAUUGGAUUUAUACUUUAUCGACUUAUUUCAUAUCAUGGUUCAGGCGUUAAAAAUCAGUGAGGUUUACUCUUCCUUUUCGAUGCCCGUGGAACUACUGUCAAUGGUUUACUCAAUUACUUAUUGGGAAUGUUAAAAAAAAAGAUUGUGACGUUAUUUUUUGAAGAUGCCUAUAUCUAUAGCUUUUCCUUCAUUUAUUUGAUUCUUUCAAUAGAUACCGAGAUUCAUAUUGGAAAUAAAAGAUAUAGUAAUUCAAACUAUAAGACAUAAGAGUGAUUCAGAUUGAUCAGAACAAAUAGAUAUAGCAAAUAAAUGGAAUUGGAUGCUAUGUCACUCCCAUAUAUGGAAUUGAUAUUCACAUAUAUCAAGAUAAUAUUGUGGAUUGAUCUAUAGAUCCAUAUCAAAUGCAGCCUCUAUCUUUAUUUUAGUCCAGGGAGCAGCUACAAUCUAACUAAUAAAUAGUAUGGUAGAAAGAAAUAGAUGAAUCUUUCUACCAUACUAUCUAUCUAUUAGAAUACUGCCGAUUCUAGUCCACUCAUUUCAUUUAAGACAUGAAAUUGGAAUCUUUUUCAUUUUAUUUCGGCAAUUUUGGCUAAGAACUCAGAAGUCAAGUUUCAUUCAAAUUAGUUAAUAAUUAAUCGUUUUGACUGACUGUUUUUACGUAAAUGAUAAGUAGAAAAGCGGUAGGAACUAGAAUAAAUAGUGCAGUAGCAAUAAAUGCAAGAAUAUUUACUUCCAUAAUCUCAUCGGUUUUUUACUUCGCAAUAACUCGGGAUUUAAUCCCAUAGAGAUGAUAAAUCUUUGGCCUGUAAAUUCAAUGAAUGAAUAUUACCUCUCGAUGAUCUUGAAUCGGAUCAAUAUCAUGAAUAACAAUAUCUGAACUAUCAAAUCAAUUCGUCGUCGAGAAUUGAAUAGUAUAACAUAGGAAGUUCUUUUAUCCAUACCGCCCCAAACUUGGAUUCCUGACCCAAUCCAACCAAAAUUCCUUUAUUUAUCAUUUUUUAUCAUCUGUUCUUUUUUUCUCUCUAAUCUAUCUAGUUCCUUCUUGUACAAUCAUCUGAUGAAGUCUCAUCAAACAGCUCUUCCACUUCCAGUGGUCACAUAGUUACAAACCCAAACAAACAAUAAAAGCUAAAUGGAAAAAGAAAGGAGUUUAGAACGAAACUAUUUUUGACUUGGAAGACAAAGAAGUGUGAUAAAGAUGCGACCGUAUAAAAUGAAUAUUCAUCAAAUUUACUAUUUUUCAAUUUGUUCUUUCGUCGAUGGGGCCUUAAAACAAAAUGAAAAAUCGGAAAAAUGAUUCAUUCCCCUUUCUAAGAGGAGUAGGAUCUUUGGUUGAUCUGUCCUUCCCCCUCCUUUCUUCGUAGAUUAUUAGCCCCGGGACACCUAUACCAAAAGCUCAGUGUGCAAUUUGCAUGAAAUCUAUUUUUCAACUUCAAACUAGUAAGUGAGGUUCCAUAAAUCCGUAUCCAGAAAAAUAAAUUGUUUUUUUUUUGUUUUUUCUGGAAAGUAUUUUCUUAUAUUCAAUUUUGUAUUGGACAAGAAAAUAAUUCCCUUUGUGUAUGCGUACCUCAAAAAGGUAUAGUACCCGAUUCCAUUACAUGCAUCGGGGUCAAUCGAAAAAGCCAGCAUUUCUUGGAAUACUGACUAUAAUGAUACCAAUAAUUGUACUAAUCCAACAAUAUAUUACCCAAAGGAAAGAAAAAAGAAAUAAGGAUUUCCCUUUGCUUUGACAAUGAAAUUCUGCACCCCGUCCCCUUCAUAAAAAGGGAGAGAUUUAUAUUGGAUCCGUCGGGAUUGACGGGGCUCGAACCCGCAGCUUCCACCUUGACAAGGCGGUGCUCUGACCAAUUGAACUACAAUCCUAGGGAAAUACAGGAUCUAGCAGAAAAUUUGAUUCUUUUUUAUCUCUGAAUCGGGUAUUUCUGAAGUACAAAGAGGUUAUAUCAUCUCAUGAUGGAUUGUCGAAUUAUUAGGCCAAGCUGGAUUUGAACCAACGUAGACAUAUUGCCAAUGAAUUUACAGUCCGUCCCCGUUAACUGCUCGGGCAUCGACCUAGGAAGAAUCAAUUUUAGACUUAUUGGUAAUCAAAGAUCAACUUCCUUUCGUAAUACCCUACCCCCAGGGGAAUUCAAAUCCCCGCUGCCUCCUUGAAAGAGAGAUGUCCUAAACCACUAGAUGAUGGGGGCCCGCUUGACCAACGGCCAUCAUACUAUGAUCAUAGUAUGAUCAGUUUUUUGAAAUUGUCAAUAUAAUCGAAUGAUUCUAUCCGAGGGAUCUUUCCCCCUUUCAGAAUUGCAUAGAAUUAUUUUUUAUUCUGAUGAAUUAUUCAUUCUAAUCGCCAUUAGAAAUCUAAAAUCUAGUAGUAGUAUUUUUUUUAUUUUUGAAUUAUUUCAAUUGAAUUUAUUUCGAUUAUUUUAGUAUUUAGAAUUUUAUUUCGAUUUCUUUCACUUUCAUUUGAUUCAUUGUUAAGACGAGAUAUCCUUAUCUCCCUCCCACCAAGACAGGAAAUUAACAAAUGAGAAAUCUAGUAAGAUCAAGCAGAAAAUUGUUUUUUAUCCAAGAAUUUAGUUCAAGAGACAAGUAGAAUCUCUUCAUUCCAUGAUUCGAUGAAAUAUCUUGAAUUUUAUGUUGAAUUGCUAGGUGUAUGUACAUGUAUCAAUCAAGUGAAUUUUGUUCUGGUGGGAUCAAUUCAAUAAAAGAAAAAAAACAAUUCGAGUCGGUCUUGAAACACUUCAUUGCAUUUUCUCCUAGACUUCCUUGGUAAAUCCAUGAGCCACUAGACACUAUGUAUCUAUUGCACGUAUUUAAUGCAUAUAUACUUAUGUUUAUAAUAUAUAUAUAUACAUAUAGAUAUUUUAUCCACAUAGUGAAUAAUUCCAGAAUUAAAUAAAAAAGGCCCUUUUAACUCAGUGGUAGAGUAAUGCGAUGGUAAGGCGUAAGUCAUCAGUUCAAAUCCGAUAAGGGGCUUUGUAAAACUCCAAUCUAGUAUUCAUAUUUAAGGGGAGAAUUGUUUUUCGAUUUGUAAUUAAAAAAAAGUAACUUACUGGAUAAUACAUUAUCAUUAUACUUAGUUAUAAUGUUGAACAUUUGUUUAGUCAAUUUUCAUUAUUAUGAAUUUCUAAAUAAUGAAAAGUCACUUCUUGAAUCACCCACCAAAUAUUCCUAUUUUCCAUUAUACCAACCAAAUCCAUUCGAAAGGUUAGAAAUCAACAAAAGAAAAAGGAAGUGGACCUGACCUAUUGAAUCAGGACUAUAUUCGUUAUUUUGAUAUUAAAAUUCGAUAGAGAUGAAAUUGGAGCAGUUGAUUUUUUUUAUUUCAUUUUUUUGUUUUGGACUGCACAAGAAUUUUUCGAUAUUUCUGAUUAAAUCUUCUUAUUACUAGAUUUUCUAUAGGAAAAAUUAUAGGAAUAAAUAAUUAUUCCUUUCCUCUAUAGAUAAACCUUUCUUCCAAGUCACACCAUAAGAGCCAUUUAUUAUCUUUCUUUGAUUCUAGAUCAAAGAUCAAUUUCUAUCUAGAUUAUAUAUCUAUAUUAAGUAGAUUGUAGAUUUCGAUGUAUAUCUAUCAGAUCGUGGCUUCAUGUAACAAAUAUUUCAAUAUCGUUGCAUCCGGUAUUUUUGUUUUGUUCCAACAGUGUGAUGAAGAAUAGAUCCGAGAAAGAGACUUUCAUUUCCAGUCUCCUAGUUAUUUUAUUUAUUUUAUUGAAUUUUAGAUUUGCUAAAAGGAAAAAUAGUAGAUUAUCUCUUUUUCUAACAAACAAAAGAAUCUAAAAGUAAAUAUUUGCUCGAACUUUCUUUUUUCUUUUGAUCUGUGGAAAGAUAUACUCUGGGGUUUUAGAUUUAUUUAUAUGAAGUAUGAAGGAAAGAGACCGUUUGGUCCUUGAAGAUUUCUUUCAAAACAUGGGAUUGAUUGGAUUGUCUUAAUAAGAUAAUUCAUGGUUCAUAUGCUUAGUCAGAAGGAAUAAUCCAAUGGAGUUCAUUGAUUUACCUAGGUCAGUUUAUAGGCUAAUCAAUAAAGGAUUUUUAUCUUCGAAACCCAUUGGAAAGGGCAUUGCAAGAGAAAUCAUACAAAAAUGAUUGAAUCUUUGGACGCCCCGAAAAAGAUAUGAGGUGCUCGAAAAUGGUCAAAGUAGUUGAAUAGGAGGAUCGCUAUUAAUAUAUCCAAUGGUAAGUUUACCAAAGACUAAAAUGAUUUAUUUGAUACUAUGGAUAACUGGUUAUGGAGGGACCGUUUCAUUUUUGUAGGCUGGUUCGGUCUAUUGCUCUUUCCUUAUGCCUAUUUUGCUUUAUGAGGUUGGUUCACAGGUGAAACCUUUGUAAAUUCAUGGUAUACCCAUGGAUUGGCCAGUUCUUAUUUGAAAGCUUGCAAUUUCUUAACUGUCGCGGUUUCUACUCCUGCUAAUAGUUUAGCACAUUCAUUGUUGUUACUAUGGGGUCCUGAAGCACAAGGAGAUUUUACUCGUUGGUAUCAAUUGGGGGGUCUGUUGACUUUUGUUGCUCUCCAUGGAGCUUUUGGCCUAAUAGGUUUUAUGUUACAUCAAUUUGAGCUUGAUCGAUCUGUUCAAUUAAGACCUUAUAAUGCAAUCGCAUUCUCUGGUCUAAUUGCUGUUUUUGUUUCUGUAUUUUUGAUUAUCCACUAGGUUAGUCUGGUUGGUUCUUUGCACCUAGUUUUGGUGUAGCAGCUAUAUUUCGAUUCAUCCUAUUUUUUCAAGGGUUUCAUAAUUAGACCUUGAGCCCCUUUCCUAUGAUGGGAGUUGCCGGUGUAUUGGGCGCUGCUUUGCUAUGUGCCAUUCAUGGUGCUACCAUAGAAAAUACUUUAUUUGAAGAUGGUGAUGGUGCAAAUACUUUCCAUGCUUUUAACCCAACUCAAGCCAAAGAAACUUAUUCAAUGGUCACUGCUAACCGCUUUUGGUCCCAAAUCUUUGGGGUUUCUUUUUCCAAUAACCGUUGGUUACAUUUGUUUAUGUUAUUUGUACUAGUAACCAGUUUAUGGAUGAGUGCUCUUGGAGUAGUCGGUCUAUCCCUGAACCUACGUGCCUAUGACUUCGUUUCUCAGGAAAUUUGCGCAGUGGAAGAUCUUGAAUUUGAGACUUUCUACACCAAAAAUAUUCUCUUAAACGAAGGUAUUCUCACUUGGAUGGCGGCUCAAGAUCAGCCUCAUGAAAACCUUAUAUUCCCUAAGGAGGUUCUACCACGUGGAAAUGCUCUUUAAUGGAACUUUAGCCUUAGCUGGUCGUGACCAAGAAACCACUAGUUUUGCUUGGUGGGCUGGGAAUGCCCGACUUAUCAAUUUAUCCGGUAAACUACUAGGGGAUCAUGUAGCCCAUGCUGGAUUAAUUGUAUUCUGGGCCAGAGCAAUGAACCUAUUUGAAGUAGCCCAUUUCGUACCCAAGAAGCCUAUGUAUGAACAAGGAUUGAUUUUACUUCCCCACCUAGCUACUCUAGGUUGGGGGUAGGCCCUGGGGAUGAAGUUAUAGACACCUUUCCAUACUUUGUAUCUAGAGUAAUUCAUUUAAUUUCUUCUGCAGUAUUGGGCUUUGGCGGCAUUUAUCAUGCACUUCUGGGACCUGAGACACUUGAAGAAUCUUUUCCCUUCUUUGGUUAUGUCUGGAAAGAUCGAAAUAAAAUGACCACAAUUUUAGGUAUUCACUUAAUCUUGUUAGGUCUAGGUGCUUUUCUUCUAGUAUUCAAGGCUCUUUAUUUUGGGGGCGUAUAUGAUACCUGGGCUCUGGGAGGGGGAGAUGUAAGAAAAAUUACCAACUUGACCCUUAGCCCGAGUAUCAUAUUUGGUUAUUUACUAAAAUCUCCUUUUGGAGGGGAAGGAUGGAUUGUUAGUGUGGACGAUUUAGAAGAUAUAAUUGAAGGACAUGUAUGGUUAGGUUCCAUUUGUAUACUUGGUGGAAUCUAGCAUAUCUUAACCAAACCCUUCGCAUGGGCUCAACGCGCACUUGUAUGGUCUAGAGAGGCUUACUUAUCUUAUAGUUUAGGGACUUUAGCCAUCUUUGGUUUCAUUGCUUGUUGUUUUGUCUGGUUCAAUAAUACCGCUUAUCCUAGUGAAUUUUACGGACCUACUGGACCAGAAGAUUCUCAAGAUCAAGCAUUUACUUUUCUAUUUAGAGACCAAUGCCUUGGGGCUAACAUGGGAUCUGCUUAAGGACCUACUGGUUUAGCUAAAUUUCUAAUGCGUUCCCCAACCGGAGAAGUCAUUUUUGGAGGAGAAACUAUGCAUUUUUGGGAUCUACGUGCUCCAUGGUUAGAGCCUCUAAGGGGUCCAAAUAGGUUAGACUUGAGUACCGAGAUCAGUGCAGUCAAUUAUGUCUCUCCUAGAAGUUGGUUAGCUACCUCUCAUUUUGUUCUAGGAUACUUCUUCUUCGUAGGUCAUUUGUGGCAUGCGGGAAGGGCUCGUGCAACUGCAACAGGAUUUGAAAAAGCAAUUGAUCAUGACCUUGAACCUAUUCUUUUCAUGACCCCUCUUAAUUGAGAUGAGACAGGAGAUCCAAUGCUUGAAUGAAGUACAAAUCACUUUGAUUCAAUCAUACAUCUUGGAAUCAGCUUAAGUAUUCUUUUUUUCUUUUUUUUUUUCCAACUCAUUUUAUCUAAUUUAUAGUGAAUCUAUUUUUUUGGCUUGGAUAGGUGAGAUAGCCGAGCCAUUCCCCUUUCAUUCGGAUAGCAGAUUGGGCGAAACCACUAAAGAAAAAAAUCUAUUCAAUUAGCAAAAAAGGAGAGAGAGGGAUUCAAACCCUCGAUAGUUCUUUGUUCAAAACUAUAUCGGUUUUCAAGAUCGGGGCUAUCAACCACUCAGCCAUCUCUUCAAAAGACUAUUUUUAUUUUAUUCCUCCGAAUAGAACAUGGCUAUAGAGGUGGAUACCCCCACUAUCUGUAGAAAGAUCUCAGGUGCGAACCCACCGGUCGAUCUAUCUAUCUGUAUAUAGAUAUAUGAUCUAGCAUGCCCCUUUGUGAAAUAAAAAAUAAAAUUCCAUUUAUAUCCUCUCUCCGCACCACUCCAUGUACGAAUAUAGUGUGAAAGGGGUAGUAGUAAUAAGUCAUAUAGAAUCAAUGGAUUCAUGAUAAAGUAAAAUCCCUCGAUGACAUAUUUUAUCACAAUUAAUAUUUUUUGGCUGGUAGAGGGAUCAAAUGGUAUAUAGUUCAUUUGUUGGUAGCUUGGAGGAUUAAAAGCAUGACUCUUGCUUUCCAAUUGGCUGUUUUUGCAUUAAUUGCUACUUCAUUAAUCUUAUUGAUUAGCGUACCCGUUGUAUUUGCUUCUCCUGAUGGCUGGUCAAGUAACAAAAAUGUUGUAUUUUCUGGUACAUCCUUAUGGAUUGGAUUAGUCUUUCUGGUGGGUAUCCUUAAUUCUCUCAUCUCUUGAACCUAUUCGUCGCAGACCCAAAAUGCCCCCCUAAUUUUUCUCGGUUGUGAGACACAUUAAAUUUGAAUCUAAGUCC
rnacentral:lncRNA from 1 species